CCUACGGGAGACUGCAGUGAGGAAUAUUGGUCAAUGGACGAGAGUCUGAACCAGCCAAGUAGCGUGAAGGAUGACUGCCCUAUGGGUUGUAAACUUCGUUUAUAAAGGAAUAAAACGAGGCACGUGUGCCUUUUUGCAUGUACUUUAUGAAUAAGGAUCGGCUAACUCCGUGCCAGCAGCCGCGGUAAUACGGAGGAUCCGAGCGUUAUCCGGAUUUAGUGGGUUUAAAGGGAGCGUAGAUGGGUUGUUAAGUCAGGUGUGAAAGUUUGCGGCUCAACCGUAAAAUUGCAAUUGAUACUGGCAGUCUUGAGUACAGUUGAGGUAGGCGGAAUUCGUGGUGUAGCGGUGAAAUGCUUAGAUAUCACGAAGAACCCCGAUUGCGAAGGCAGCUUACUAAACUGUGACUGAUAUUGAUGCUCGAAAGUGUGGGUAUCAAACAGGAUUAGAUACCCGUGUAGUC
rnacentral:rRNA from 1 species